GGUCUAUUAGUCUAGUUGGUUAGGACGUCGGAUUCUGAUUCAUACCCAGAUCUUCCGUAGGCCCAGGUUCGAAUCCUGGAUGGACCU
rnacentral:tRNA from 1 species